rnacentral:rRNA from 1 species
UACGUAGGGGGCAAGCGUUGUCCGGAUUUAUUGGGCGUAAAGAGCGUGUAGGCGGCCAAGCAGGUCCGCUGUGAAAACUCGAGGCUCAACCUCGAGACGUCGGUGGAAACCGUUUGGCUAGAGUCCGGAAGAGGAGAGUGGAAUUCCCGGUGUAGCGGUGAAAUGCGCAGAUAUCGGGAAGAACACCCGUGGCGAAGGCGGCUCUCUGGGACGGUACUGACGCUGAGGAGCGAAAAGCGUGGGGAGCGAACAGG